GGGGGAAACCCUGAUGCAGCAACGCCGCGUGAGCGAUGAAGGCCUUCGGGUUGUAAAGCUCUGUCUUCAGGGACGAUAAUGACGGUACCUGAGGAGGAAGCCACGGCUAACUACGUGCCAGCAGCCGCGGUAAUACGUAGGUGGCAAGCGUUGUCCGGAAUUAUUGGGCGUAAAGGAUGCGUAGGCGGCCUUUUAAGUGGGAUGUGAAAUACCCGGGCUUAACCCGGGAAUGGCAUUCCAAACUGGAAGGCUAGAGUGCAGGAGAGGAAAGUGGAAUUCCCAGUGUAGCGGUGAAAUGCGUAGAGAUUGGGAGGAACACCAGUGGCGAAGGCGACUUUCUGGACUGUAACUGACGCUGAGGCAUGAAAGCGUGGGGAGCAAACAGGAUUAGAUACCCUGGUAGUCCACGCCGUAAACGAUGAGUACUAGGUGUAGGGGAGCCAUUCUCUGUGCCGCAGUUAACACAUUAAGUACUCCGCCUGGGAAGUACGG
rnacentral:rRNA from 1 species